CAUGAGAUUUAUCCCGAUGGGGCUUUCCUGUAGCCUACACAUCACGGGAAACGCCUCACAGACUAACCGUGGUUUUGCUUCACUCACAGAACUAUUUGUUAGACCUGUAAGAAGGAACUACAAGACAGGU
rnacentral:snoRNA from 1 species